AAAAAAUUAGUUUAACAAAAACAUUAGUUUGUCAAACUAAAAAUAUUAAAAAUUUUAAUAUUUUUUA
rnacentral:tRNA from 1 species